rnacentral:rRNA from 1 species
UGUGAACCUAUCACGGGGACGGGGGAUACCCCUGGGAAACCAGGGCUAAGACCGCGUACGCUCUCGUUGGGAGGAACAACGAGAGGAGAGGGGGGCGUGAGGAGCGCCUUCUGGCCUGUGCGGGGCAUGCGUCCGAUUAGCUAGUUGGGGGGUAAGAGCCCACCAAGGCGACGAUCGGUCGCUGGUCUGAGAGGAUGAUCAGCCACACUGGGACUGAGAGACGGCCCAG